CCUUUAGAUGUCCGGGGCCGCACGCGCGCUACACUGAAGGAAUCAGCGUGGCUUUCUCCCUGACCCGAAAGGGUUGGGAAACCCGUUGAAUCUCCUUCGUGAUAGGGAUUGGGGCUUGAAAUUGUUCCCCAUGAACGAGGAAUUCCCAGUAAGCGCGAGUCAUAAGCUCGCGUUGAUUACGUCCCUGCCCUUUGUACACACCGCCCGUCGCUACUACCGAUUGAACGGUUUAGUGAGGGCCUCGGAUUGGUCUCGGCCCGCUCUUUACCGGGCGGCGCCGUUGGUCGAGAAGACGCUCGAACUUGAUCGUUUAGAGGAAGUAAAAGUCGUAACA
rnacentral:rRNA from 1 species